CGAGUCACAUAGCAAUAUGUGGCAUACGGCUCAGUAACACGUAGUCAACAUGCCCAGGGGACGUGGAUAACCUCGGGAAACUGAGGAUAAACCGCGAUAGGUCAUCACUUCUGGAAUGGGUAAUGACUUAAAUCUAUAUGGCCCCUGGAUUGGACUGCGGCCGAUCAGGCUGUUGGUGAGGUAAUGGCCCACCAAACCUGUAACCGGUACGGGCUCUGAGAGGAGGAGCCCGGAGAUGGGCACUGAGACAAGGGCCCAGGCCCUAUGGGGCGCAGCAGGCGCGAAACCUCUGCAAUAGGCGAAAGCUUGACAGGGUUACUCUGAGUGAUUUCCGUUAAGGAGAUCUUUUGGCACCUCUAAAAAUGGUGCAGAAUAAGGGGUGGGCAAGUCUGGUGUCAGCCGCCGCGGUAAUACCAGCACCCCGAGUGGUCGGGACGUUUAUUGGGCCUAAAGCAUCCGUAGCCGGUUCUACAAGUCUUCCGUUAAAUCCACCUGCUUAACAGAUGGGCUGCGGAAGAUACUAUAGAGCUAGGAGGCGGGAGAGGCAAGCGGUACUCGAUGGGUAGGGGUAAAAUCCGUUGAUCCAUUGAAGACCACCAGUGGCGAAGGCGGCUUGCCAGAACGCGCUCGACGGUGAGGGAUGAAAGCUGGGGGAGCAAACCGGAUUAGAUACCCGGGUAGUCCCAGCUGUAAACGAUGCAGACUCGGUGAUGAGUUGGCUUAUUGCUAACUCAGUGCCGCA
rnacentral:rRNA from 1 species